AAUAGACCCUAUCUCCGAGCCGGUAUAAACCUAAUGAGUUAAUCUAUGGUUGGCGGCCAGGGCUAUAAGCCCUCAGGGUAUACCCGGAAACGGAUAUGCCUUCCUAUUGAAAAGGAGGUGGUUAGGCCAGCAA
rnacentral:ncRNA from 2 species